CUUUAAGUUGCACCUUGGAACUAAAAGGAAGUCAAUGCACAAAGCUGAUACAAUUCUUAAAACACUUCUUAAUCUACAAGCAGGGUACCCUAUGGCAACUGAAGUGUACUACAAACCCAGAAACAAUGUAGAAACAGUAAUCCCAAUCUGAUUAGGACAAGAGCAGCUGCGGAAAAUUAACUUCUGAAGGGAAAGGAUUACAAGGAUACACAGAUUUUUGCCAAGAAGGCCUUCAUAAAGUUCUUCAUGCCUACUGCCAUUUGGACAUUCUCAAACACACACCUAGGUUUCCUGUUAGCACUCAAGCUCCUUUUUACCAGUAGGUAAUGUAUUUUAACCUGCUUCUUUCACUCCCACUAUUUUGGAUUGGAUAUGCCACUUCUAAUGUUUAGAUGUCUUACUAGUUUCUAAAGGUGAAAUGCACUAGGUUUCAACUACGAAACACUACCAUGUCAGCAUUCCCAACAGCCUGGCUUUGGAGUACUUAAGUGCAAACCUCAGGGACGAUUUCAAUCUUUAAAUUGAUACAUGACAGCACCACAGCAGCAGUGAUUCACCCGUCUUUACAACAGGAUUCCUAAAAAAAUCUGACUGCAAUCGUACAUUCCUGACAACCCAGCAAUCCCACCUGAGAGGAAUCUUCUGUGCAAAGAGUGCCCAUGAAAACCUAGACAAGAACUGGAGCCUGUUUCCACAACAGAUAGAAACAUCACAGAACAUUCAACUCUAUUUCUAUCAG